CACGUAGGGGGCGAGCGUUGUCCGGAUUUAUUGGGCGUAAAGAGCUCGUAGGCGGUUUGUCGCGUUGUCCGUGAAAACUCACAACUCAAUUGUGGGCGUGCGGGCGAUACGGGCAGACUGGAGUACUGCAGGGGAGACUGGAAUUCCUGGUGUAGCGGUGAAAUGCGCAGAUAUCAGGAGGAACACCAGUGGCGAAGGCGGCUGACUGGUCCGGUUCUGACGCUGAGGCGCGAAAGCGUGGGGAGCGAACAGG
rnacentral:rRNA from 1 species